rnacentral:lncRNA from 1 species
GAGAACAUUUUGGUGGUAAUAAGUGUGGGAGGACAGGAGUAUUUUCUGGUUCUUCUCAGUGCAAAUGUAGCCCAGCCUUGAUAUCCUAAAGACCUUAAGACUCCAGAGCCUCAAGGAGACGAUGAAUGAUACACGAACACGGAAGAAAGGUACAGCUGCUUGAUCUUUUAGGCUGCUCUUGGAGAUCAAAAUUCUCAGUUUGUCAUCCAACUCUUUGAUGUUAAGGUUGAGUACAUGGACAACUC